CCUACGGGGGGCAGCAGUGAGGAAUAUUGGUCAAUGGGCGAGAGCCUGAACCAGCCAAGUCGCGUGAGGGAAGACGGUCCUAUGGAUUGUAAACCUCUUUUGCCGGGGAGCAAAAAGCGGUACGUGUACCGCAUCGAGAGUACCCGGAGAAAAAGCAUCGGCUAACUCCGUGCCAGCAGCCGCGGUAAUACGGGGGAUGCGAGCGUUAUCCGGAUUUAUUGGGUUUAAGGGGUGCGCAGGCGGCGAGUUAAGUCAGCGGUAAAAUUUCGGGGCUCAACCCCGACAAGCCGUUGAAACUGGUUGGCUAGAGUGGGCGAGAAGUAUGCGGAAUGCGUGGUGGAGCGGUGAAAUGCAUAGAUAUCACGCAGAACUCCGAUUGCGAAGGCAGCAUACCGGCGCCCAACUGACGCUCAGGCACGAAAGCGUGGGUAUCGAACAGGAUUAGAUACCCGAGUAGUC
rnacentral:rRNA from 1 species